UUUGUGCGGCGAUAUCCUCGAGUUGCGAUCGAUCCGUAUAACAUCACGGGACGUGCUCCGUAUUUGUUCUGCAUUUCCCUGAAUUAAUUAGUCAACUACCAGAUAGGUUGGUACAUACACUCCAAUACAGAACCGUAGCGCGCGGAGCUACCCUAACUAUGCCGUGAUCCCCCCGGAAUGGAGUCUAAGACGUACCUCCGUUUACCCUCUGUUUGGUUGUUGCUGUUGUCUCUUCAAUCUCUAACCGCAGACGCCUCCACCAGCACAGCUCCACCGGAAGAAAAACCGUUUCUGUCCAGUGACGCCUUCAUCGGUCUAGCGAUAGGAGUGGGUGCCGUGGGAGGAACGCUGAUUCUGUGUUGUCUUCUCUGGAAAUGUUUCUGUUCCGAUUCGGAGAGAUAACUCCGUCUAAAGGGAGACAGGUCAAUCCCAACGUCCAAUCUCCUUCUGUGCGUGUGUGAUAAUCUGAAGAUCAUGGGGAUAUAACAGUCUGGUGGAUUAUAUUUGAUGUCUGUGUUUCAUGACUAUGUCUUUUUCCUGUCUCUAAGCUGAUUUGAAAUCAUUAACUGUUAGUCUUACCUUUUCUCUGGAAAGUAUUCAUGGACAGUGUUGAAGUUAUGGAGGUUGUAGGGACAGAGAACCGCUGGCGGUCUGCAAGGUCUCCAGCUGUGUGCCCUUUACUCUAUACUCUUUACAGUUGAAUACAACUACCAUGUCAUUGUUGCCUUAAAACAAAACAAAAAGAAUUAUCGUCGAUCUGCAAAAUAUUCUCGUUCCAAAUCAGUCUAUUCUUUGUACUAUUGUCAUUUGUCAUGUUGUAAAUUUUGUAUUUACACCCACCCAGUAAAUUCAAAAUUUACAACAUGACACUAUAAUUGUAAUACGGUUCAUUUAUGCAAAGUAUUUUCGUUGACAUAAACAUGUACUCCUGUUUUGUUUUGCAUUUUUAAGUUUUGGUUUACCAUUUAAUUGUUGUAAUGGAAAAAUAAAAGAGUUUCAGGAAU